CAGAGCGAGUGACUGGGGCUAGCUCCUUGAUUCAUCGGCGGACGGGUGAGUGACGCCUGGGAAUCUGUCUGGGAGGGGGGGAGGAACUUUCUUAAGGAACGCACAUUCCUCCCACAUCCUUCCGGAGGAAGAAAGGGAGCUUCCGGCCGUGCUUGCUCUACGAAUGUACGGAGGAUUAGAUUAGUUGGUUGGGGAUGGCUGGCUCGGCAAGGAUACGAACCUGGUCUGAUCUGAUGAUCUGACCCACCGCACUGGAGAUGAGACCCAGACUCCACUCGGACGCAGCAGUGGGGAAUAUUGGACAAUGGGCGAAAGCCAGAUCCAGACAUGCCCCGUGUGCGAAUAAGGACUACGGAUUGGAAAGCACUUUAACUUGGGAGGAAGGGGAAGGGUUAAUAAUUUGCUGUUUUGACGUUACAGAUUAAAUACACACCGGCUAACUCUGUGCUCUCUGCCGCCGUCCUCCAGAAGGGUGCAGGCGUUAUUCCGUAA
rnacentral:rRNA from 1 species